AUUGAACGCUGGCGGAAUGCUUUACACAUGCAAGUCGAACGGCAGCACGGGGGCAACCCUGGUGGCGAGUGGCGAACGGGUGAGUAAUACAUCGGAACGUGCCCAGUCGUGGGGGAUAACUACGCGAAAGCGUAGCUAAUACCGCAUACGAUCUACGGAUGAAAGCGGGGGAUCGCAAGACCUCGCGCGAUUGGAGCGGCCGAUGGCAGAUUAGGUAGUUGGUGGGGUAAAGGCUCACCAAGCCGACGAUCUGUAGCUGGUCUGAGAGGACGACCAGCCACACUGGGACUGAGACACGGCCCAGACUCCUACGGGAGGCAGCAGUGGGGAAUAUUGGACAAUGGGCGAAAGCCUGAUCCAGCAAUGCCGCGUGAGUGAUGAAGGCCCUAGGGUUGUAAAGCUCUUUUACCCGGGAAGAUAAUGACUGUACCGGGAGAAUAAGCCCCGGCUAACUCCGUGCCAGCAGCCGCGGUAAUACGGAGGGGGCUAGCGUUGUUCGGAAUUACUGGGCGUAAAGCGCACGUAGGCGGCUUUGUAAGUUAGAGGUGAAAGCCCGGGGCUCAACCCCGGAAUUGCCUUUAAGACUGCAUCGCUAGAAUCGUGGAGAGGUGAGUGGAAUUCCGAGUGUAGAGGUGAAAUUCGUAGAUAUUCGGAAGAACACCAGUGGCGAAAGCGGCUCACUGGACACGUAUUGACGCUGAGGUACGAAAGCGUGGGGAGCAAACAGGAUUAGAUACCCUGGUAGUCCACGCCGUAACGAUGAUACUAGCUGUCCGGGCACUUGGUGCCUGGGUGGCGCAGCUAACGCAUUAAGUUAUC
rnacentral:rRNA from 1 species